CGCAAGCCUGACGGAGCAAGACCGCGUGGGGGAGGAAGGUUCUUGGAUUGUAAACCCCUUUUCUCUGGGAAGAAAUAAAUGACGGUACCAGAGGAAUAAGCAUCGGCUAACUCCGUGCCAGCAGCCGCGGUAAGACGGAGGAUGCAAGCGUUAUCCGGAAUGAUUGGGCGUAAAGCGUCCGUAGGUGGCAUUUCAAGUCUGCUGUCAAAAACCGUGGCUUAACUACGGAAAGGCAGUGGAAACUGAAAAGCUAGAGUGCGGAAGGGGCAGAGGGAAUUCCUGGUGUAGCGGUGAAAUGCGUAGAGAUCAGGAAGAACAUCGGUGGCGAAAGCGCUCUGCUGGGCCGCAACUGACACUCAGAGGACGAAAGCUAGGGGAGCG
rnacentral:rRNA from 1 species